UACGUAGGGGGCUAGCGUUGUCCGGAUUUAUUGGGCGUAAAGAGCGUGUAGGCGGCCAGAUAGGUCUGCUGUGAAAACUCGAGGCUCAACCUCGAGAUGUCGGCGGAAACCAUUUGGCUAGAGUCCGGUAGGGGAGCACGGAAUUCCUGGUGUAGCGGUGAAAUGCGCAGAUAUCAGGAGGAACACCGGUGGCGAAGGCGGUGGUCUGGGCCGGCACUGACGCUGAGGUGCGAAAGCGUGGGGAGCAAACAGG
rnacentral:rRNA from 1 species